rnacentral:rRNA from 1 species
CCUACGGGUGACAGCAGUGAGGAAUAUUGGUCAAUGGGCGCGAGCCUGAACCAGCCAAGUAGCGUGAAGGAUGAAUGCCCUACGGGUUGUAAACUUCUUUUAUAAAGGAAUAAAGUGAGGCACGUGUUCCGUUUUGUAUUUACUUUAUGAAUAAGGAUAGGCUAACUCCGUGCCAGCAGCUGCGGUAAUACGGAGGAUCCGAGCGUUAUCCGGAUUUAUUGGGUUUAAAGGGAGCGUAGAUGGGGUGUUAAGUCAGUUGUGAAAGUUUGCGGCUCAACCGUAAAAUUGCAAUUGAUACUGGCAGUCUUGAGUACAGUUGAGGUAGGCGGAAUUCGUGGUGUAGCGGUGAAAUGCUUAGAUAUCACGAAGAACUCCGAUUGCGAAGGCAGCUUACUAAACUGCCACUGACAUUGAUGCUCGAAAGUGUGGGUAUCAAACAGGAUUAGAUACCCGUGUAGUC